ACAGGUAAUAGCAUGCAGCAUUUGGAAUCUACAUUAAACAGCUGUAUAAAAUCAGUGACUGACUUUUUUUCUUUGUCCUCAAAGGGUUUUCUGAGGCAGCUGUACAGGAAUGACUGUGGCAUCUUCAUGUUGAUGUAUGCCCUAUACACCGUACUAGAUGCCCCUUUUGAUUUCACUGUGAUGGACAUGCCAUCUUUACCAAAGUGGUGGUGUGUCAUGCUGAUGGAGAACUCUGACCUUGGAAGGUGAGAGGACAAA